rnacentral:rRNA from 1 species
ACUCAAAUGAAUUGACGGGGACCCGCACAAGCAGAGGAGCAUGUGGUUUAAUUCGAAGCUACGCGAAAAACCUUACCUGGUCUUGACAUCCCACGCAUAGGCGCGAAAUCGCUGAAAUCUUAGCAAUAAGACGUGGAGACAGGUGUUGCAUGGUUGUCGUCAGCUCGUGUCGUGAGAUGUUCGGUUAAGUCCGAUAACGAGCGCAACCCUUGUCGUCAGUUGCCAGCAUUAAGUUGGGCACUCUGGCGAGACUGCCGUCGAUAAGACGGAGGAAGGUGGGGAUGAUGUCAAAUCAUCAUGGCCCUUACGGCCAGGGCUACACACGUGCUACAAUGGUAACUACAAAGAGAACCGAAGUGGUAACACGGGGGAAAUCUCAAAAAAGUUAUCUCAAUUCGGAUCGUGGGCUGCAACUCGCCCACGUGAAGUCGGAUUUGCUAGUAAUCCCGAAUCAGCAUGUCGGGGUGAAUGCGUUCCCGGGUCUUGUACACACCGCCCGU